rnacentral:lncRNA from 1 species
UUUUAUAUCAAAAUUGCAUGUUAUGAUAAAAUUAGGAGGUGCACCUUAAUUGGAUUGUUUAAGGUUGCAACCUUAUAGAAACCACACCCAUUUGGUAAUCUUGUUUCUCACUUAUCUCUUGCUCUCGCAUCUCUUGAGAAGUAUAGCCUAUCAACUGAGAUGCUAUUUUAAUUUGCGCACUCAUAAACAUUCAUGUUUGUGGAUUUGCAAAUAUCAUUUUAACUUCCCGAAUGCAUCUAUAACCAAAUACACAAAGUUACAAGCUCUCUCUCUCUCUCUCUCUCUCUCUCUCCCCCCUCACAAAAAACAACAUACAUGUCUGUCCUAUGCCCUUUACUCAUAACUCUCUACCCCCCACCCUCCCACAUUGCAUGUCUAUACAUUGCCUCACUCAAUUCUCUCUCUCUCUCUCUCUCUCUCUCUCUCUCUCUUCACGACUGUACAAUGGCCUCACUUGCAAUUGUAUAUAUCACAUAUACUUACUUAUGUAUAUACAUGCUUGUCCACUUAGAAAAACAAGGAUGACUUUAUUUGGUAUAUUAUUGGUUGGCAAGUUGUUUUAUAUAUUGGAUGCGCGCAUUAAUACAUGGUUAGUGUAUGUGGCCGAUUUCUCGUAUGUAUGACAUGUUGGGUAUGCCUUUGGUCAUAUGCUUCUUUAUGUCUCUGUGGCUUGAAGCUUGGAGUGUGGCUUGAUGCUUGGAGUUGGGCCCAGACUUGCCAAGGGCCUGAGCCUGAGUCCACAGUUUGACUCGGCCAAGUCAGCAAUCCAACUUGGCCGAGCUCUUGUGAAAAUUACACAGAAGGCUUAAUGCCUUGGGCCGACCUCAGGAGAGUCUUAGGGUUUGGACCUGGCACCCUGCCAGGUCCGAGCGAUUCGGGCAAGUCGGAGCCCAAGUCUCAUAGUUUUUGGUAACUGGUUUAUGUGCAUGCAUCCAAGCUUUCUAUUGUUCCUUUUAUGUUAAAAAAUUCAUUAUUUGAUGGGAUUUUUUGUGUUCAUUGCAGAAGAAAGUCUCUAAAUUCAUGGUUCGUGCUGCUCGUUUCAAUGAGGCAUUCUCUGUGGUGAGACAUGUGCCGAUAGUCCGGUCCUCAAUACCCCUUGGUGCUUAUCACCAGGGCCUCUGAUCUGUGCUUAAAACUGAGGGUUAGGAAUAGCGAAGUGUUUUAAGACCAUAUGAAUGUGAGUAUUUAUAGGUUGAGAGCUCAUUGAAAAAAGAAGCAUUAAAGGUGGUGAUUAUAUAUGUUAAUAGUUUCUUUUUAGGAUGUUUUACGUAUUUGUGUUGAUCUUUUGUAUUUUAUUGUUGAAAACCUCGACUGCAUUACUGGCUGCCCUUAUGUUUAUUAAAUUUUUGUUUUCAGCAUGUGUAGCUAAGAGAGAUUGGUUGAGGGAGAGAGAGAGAGAGUUUUGCAGUUUCUCUGUGAAGCUUCCUAUGUCUGAAUCUUUGCACUGUUUGUUAGACCAAUGUUUAAAAAAAGGGUCUUGGGUUCAACUCACAGGGGGAGAUGGGAAACUGUUCUCAAGGUCGAGAUCCUAGAUUGGUAUAGAAGUCUAUUCGAGGAAACCAUGAAGAUAUUACGUUGUUAUUAAACGAUUCUCAAUAUUAGCACAUUGUGGAUUGGGACUUUUUGUCAAUCUUUGAUGAUGUUUUUCUCCGAGUGUUUUGCUAGUGAGUUCGAUAGAAAAAGUGCCAUCAAAUGGGUGCUUAUGUGAUUCCCAAUGUUAGAGCUCAGCUUUGACUAUUAUUUUGUUUAUGGAGAACCCCUAUAUAUAACCAUGUAUGAAUUGAAAGAAUUCAUGGGGGUACUGCAUCAUUAAUCUUGAUCUGCCUCAAAAAUCAUAUUAGAUUAUUUUCUGAUGGGUUCAAGACCAAGUGUGGUGUGCUUAUGUACUAAGUAUCGCAAUUCUCGAUGGGCCCAAGACAAGGUCAAUCAAAUGUCCAUGGGGAAUGUAGUAAAAUUGAUCUCAAGUUUUGUUGAGGAGGGUUCAAAAUUUUGAAGAAGGUUAAUGACAAUGUUUACAAAUUGAAGCUUCCUAACCAUAUUCACACUUCUGAUGUUUUUAAUGUCAAGCUUUUAAUUCCAUACGGUGGUGAUACUUUUGACGACAAGUCAUUGAAUUUGAAGGCGAAUUCUUUUAAGGGGGGAGACUGAUGCAAUACAAAAGUUACUGCUCUCAAGUAUCAAGACAACAGAUGAGCUUAAAAUUUAUAAGAGGAAUCGUAAAAGGGCAAAUUAAUCAUUGAGUUUAUCAUUUUAUGUUUUUUAUUUAUUUCUUGAGUCUUUUUAUUUAUUUAUUUAUAUUAUGUUUUUUAUUUAUUUCUUGAGUCUUUUUAUUUACUUAGAGGCAUGAAUCGU